AUACAGAGGGUGCAAGCGUUAAUCGGAAUUACUGGGCGUAAAGCGCGCGUAGGCGGUUUGUUAAGUCGGAUGUGAAAUCCCCGGGCUCAACCUGGGAACUGCAUUCGAAACUGGCGAGCUAGAGUAUGGUAGAGGAUAGUGGAAUUCCGGGUGUAGCGGUGAAAUGCGUAGAUAUCCGGAGGAACAUCAGUGGCGAAGGCGGCUAUCUGGACCAAUACUGACGCUGAGGUGCGAAAGCGUGGGUAGCAAACGGGAUUAGAAACCCGAGUAGUCC
rnacentral:rRNA from 1 species